UUCUUGCCUUUUGGUUCUCACACCCUGCCUGCUCCUGAUGCUUUGACCCCUUUUAUAGAUCAGAGUGCUCUAGAAUAAUGGAUGGUCUUGGGUGGUGAAUAAAGGUGGAUAAAUAGGGACAGGGACAGUUAAAUUGGGAGCCUUUCUUACAACCUUGAUGGGGUUUUUUCCCCCAAGUUUUCUUCUCCACUGAAAUGCCACACCAAUGCUUGUUGGAUUUAUGAGGUGGUCAGACUAAUGUGUUGUUCUUUCUUUUUCUUUUUCUUUUUUUUUUUUUAAGCUUCCCUUGAGAGAAUAAAUGGUAAUGGAGAGAACUAUUUAACAAGUUCCUGGUUUCUCUUGCAACACAGUAGCUAAACUUGCCUGCUUUUAUGUGCAAGCCCUUCUCCCAUCAGUCCUAGAUUAGGCCCUGUUCAGCCAUGCAGGGGUGUUGGUUUAUGCAUGCUUCAGCAGUGGGCAUAAUGAAUAUAAUUUAGCCAGCACACAAAGGUGUCUACCAAGUGAAUUUAAAUAAUUGGUGUGGAUUGGCUAGUAGCUAAGAAGUGGGCUUUUAAAGA
rnacentral:lncRNA from 1 species